rnacentral:lncRNA from 1 species
AAUCAUGAUUAUUUUACUCAUGGCUUCCUAACCUCCCUCUGCAUGUGGCCAUGCUGCUCGCCCAAGCAAAGCCCAGCUCAUCAUCUAUCUCCAUCACCAUCAUAACUUCGCCACCACCACCAUCAUAACUUCGCCACCACUACCAUCAUUGCACCCCACCUGUUUGCGGAUUUAUCCCAAUGGAACUGUCUCUGAAACCCCAGCAAUUCGUCUUGUGUUCCCAAACGGC